GGUUCGACUCCGGAGAGGGAGCCUGAGAAACGGCUACCACAUCCAAGGAAGGCAGCAGGCGCGCAAAUUACCCACUCUCGGCACGAGGAGGUAGUGACGAAAAAUAACGAGACGGAUCUCUUUGAGGCCCGUUAUCGGAAUGAGAACAAUUCAAAUCCUAUAACGAGGAUCUAGCGGAGGGCAAGUCUGGUGCCAGCAGCCGCGGUAAUUCCAGCUCCGCAGGUGUAUAUCUAUGCUGCUGCGGUUAAAGAGCUCGUAGUUGGAUCUGCGUGCUCGGAACUGGUUGGCUCACUGAGUUCAAACUGGUCUCCGGCGCUUUAUUGGCUGGUUUUCCCUUGAUGCUCUUGACCGGGUGUCUUGGGUGGCCAGCACGUUUACUUUGAAAAAAUUAGAGUGCUCAAUACAGGCGUAAAGCCUUGAAUAGUGGUGCAUGGAAUAAUAGAAUAGGACCUCGGCUCUAUUUUGUUGGUUUUCGGAACGCGAGGUAAUGAUUAAGAGGGGCAGACGGGGGCAUUCGUAUUGCGACGUUAGAGGUGAAAUUCUUGGAUCGUCGCAAGACGGACGACUGCGAAAGCAUUUGCCAAGAAUGUUUUCAUUAAUCAAGAACGAAAGUUAGAGGUUCGAAGGCGAUCAGAUACCGCCCUAGUUCUAACCGUAAACGAUGCCAACUAGCGAUUCGCAGGCGUUAAACAACGACCUUGCGGGCAGCUUCCCGGAAACGAAAGUGUUCGGGUUCCGGGGGAAGUAUGGUUGCAAAGCUGAAACUUAAAGGAAUUGACGGAAGGGCACCACCAGGAGUGGAGCCUGCGGCUUAAUUUGACCCAACACGGGAAAACUCACCCGGCCCGGACACCGUAAGGAUUGACAGAUUGAGAGCUCUUUCUUGAUUCGGUGGGUGGUGGUGCAUGGCCGUUCUUAGUUGGUGGAGCGAUUUGUCUGGUUUAUUCCGAUAACGAACGAGACUCUGGCCUACUAAAUAGUGGGCGGAUUCUUUCUGUCCGCAACACUUCUUAGAGGGACAAGCGGUGUUCAGCCGCACGAGAUUGAGCAAUAACAGGUCUGUGAUGCCCUUAGAUGUCCGGGGCUGCACGCGCGCUACACUGAAGGAAUCAGCGUGCUUUCUGACCUUGCCCGAAAGGGCUGGGUAACCCGAUGAAAAUCCUUCGUGAUUGGGAUAGGGACUUGCAAUUAUUUCCCUUGAACGAGGAAUUCCCAGUAAGUGUGGGUCAUAAGCUCGCGUUGAUUACGUCCCUGCCCUUUGUACACACCGCCCGUCGCUGCCCGGAACUGAGCCGUUUCGAGAAGAACAGGGACCGUCGUUGAAGGGCCUUAACGGGCUUUUCUCUGAUAGAAACUGUUUUAAUCGCAGUGGCUUGAACCGGGCAAAAGUCGUAACAAGGUU
rnacentral:rRNA from 1 species